AGCCUGGUUGGGUGGUCUGCCUUCACGGUACGUACUGCUCGGCUGGGUUCUACCUCUUGGUGAGCCGGCAUGCCCUUCACUGGGUGUGUCGGGGAACCAGGACUUUUACCUUGAGAAAAUUAGAGUGUUCAAAGCAGGCCUACGCCCGAAUACAUUAGCAUGGCAUAAUAAAAUAGGACGUGCGGUUCUAUUUUGUUGGUUUCUAGGAUCGCCGUA
rnacentral:rRNA from 1 species